GGAUAGAGGCGCGGAACUCAUCAGUAAUCGGGCAUAAAAUCGCUUGAACGGUGCCGACGAAAGGGUGUUCCGCCGAAAUCGAAGAUUUAUUCAAGGAUUCUUCGGUUGGGCAAAGCGAUAAUAUCUCUUUGACUGUCGCCUUUUUGGCGGAGCGCUAUCGUA
rnacentral:ncRNA from 1 species